AGUCUGGUGCCAGCAGCCGCGGUAAUUCCAGCUUCAGUAGCGUAUAUUAAAGUUGUUGCAGUUAAAAAGCUCGUAGUCGCAUUUCUGGCGAGAGGAUCCGGUCCGACCUUUUGGUGGGUUCUUGGGUCUCUUUCGCCAUCCUUGAGUGGUCCGUUCUGGCAUUAGGUUGUCGGAGCGUCAGCCGCUCAUCGUUUACUGUGAGAAAAUUAGAGUGUUCAAAGCAGGCUUAUGCCGUUGAAUAUAUUAGCAUGGAAUAAUAAGAUAGGACCUCGGUACUAUUUUGUUGGUUUGCGCACCAAGGUAAUGAUGAACAGGGACAGUUGGGGGUAUUUGUAUUUCGUUGUCAGAGGUGAAAUUCUUAGAUUUACGAAAGACAAACUACUGCGAAAGCAUUUACCAAGGAUGUUUUCAUUGAUCAAGAACGAAAGUAUGGGGAUCGAAGAUGAUUAGAUACCAUCGUAGUCUAUACCAUAAACUAUGCCGACUCAGGAUGGGCGGGUGUUAUUUUGACCUCGUCUGCACUGUAUGAGAAAUCAAAGUCUUUGGGUUCCGGGGGGAGUAUGGUCGCAAGGCUGAAACUUAAAGAAAUUGACGGAAGGGCACCACCAGGAGUGGAACCUGCGGCUUAAUUUGACCCAACACGGGAAAACUUAUCAGGUCCUGACAUAGUGAGGAUUGACAGAUUGAGAGCUCUUUCUUGAUUCUAUGGGUGGUGGUGCAUGGCCGUUCUUAGUUGGUGGAGUGAUUUGUCUGGUUAAUUCCGUUAACGAACGAGACCGCAGCCUGCUAAAUAAUCACAGUAAUGAUUUUUCAUUGCUGAUGGUCUCUUAGAGGGACAUGUAGUAUAAAACUACAGGAAGAUUGCGGCAAUAACAGGUCUGUGGUGCCCUUAGAUGUUCUGAACCGCACGCGUGUUACACUGAUGUAUUCAACGAGCAUAUAACCUUAGCCGAGAGGCUUGGGCAAUCUUGUUAACCUACAUCGUGAUAGGGAUAGAUUAUUGCAAUUAUUAAUCUUGAACGAGGAAUUCCUAGUAAACGCACAUCAUCAAUGUGCAUUGAUUACGUCCCUGCCCUUUGUACACACCGCCCGUCGCACCUACCGAUUGAGUGGUCCGGUGAAUUCUCGGGAUUGUGGUUGAUUUCUUUUAUUAGGAUUCGACUGCGAGAACUUGUGUAAACCUUAUCACUU
rnacentral:rRNA from 1 species